AUUGAACGCUGGCGGCAGGCCUAACACAUGCAAGUCGAGCGAGCGGCGGACGGGUGAGUAAUGUAUGGGGACUGCCCUAUAGAGGGGGCUAACUACUGGAAACGGUAGCUAAUACCACAUACUAUCGGAUAACCCAUAGGGGAUUAGCUAGUAGGUGAGGUAAUGGAUCACCUUGGCGACGAUCCCUAGCUGGUCUGAGAGGAUGAUCAGCUACACUGGGACUGAGACACGGCCCAGACACCGACGGAGGCAGCAGUGGGGAAUAUUGCACAAUGGUCGUAAGCCUGAUGCAGCCAUGCCGCGUGUAGGAAGAAGGCACUAGGGUUGCAAAGUACUUUCAGUCGGGAGGCGUUACCAACAGAAGAAGCACCGGCUAACUCCGUGCCAGCAGCCGCGGUAAUUC
rnacentral:rRNA from 1 species